rnacentral:misc_RNA from 1 species
UUUUUGACUAACUCUUCAUGGCGGGCUCCCUGCGCUUUGGUGCGGCUAACCGUAAUGGGGUAGUCUUUUCACUCUCCCUCCUGUAAAUACAUCUUUGUUGCGUUGGGAUGAUGUUGUUGGUUGCCUGCGUUGUUCUACCAAUGUUGGUAGUAAUAUUAGACCUUAUAUAUUGUAUUAUAGCUCUCCUGUUGAUAGCAUUAUAUCGGCAGGGCAGCUGAGGUGUCGAGAAAAAUUCCUUCUAUUGCAAUGGUUGAAUGUAACAGCCAAGGCAUUGAAAUGGAAUGUUUGUCGGGUCUCAUGGAUGUUGUCCUUAUUUUGUGAGCUCUGUUGGUUCUAUGAUCCUCAGGCUUGGUGAUGGCUCCAUGUGUGCAUGGGAACGUUCAUGUGCAUGUGGAAUGGCUAUCUUAUUUGAAUAAUCCUUGAUUGCCGGUUCAUGCUGUUAGAAGAGCUUUACCGCUUUGGUUGAGGUUUCUUGCAGCGUGUGUCGGCUCUCGCUUAAGAUGUGC